CCCCCCAGGCUGCAGCCUAGUGGAAGGCCAAUUAGGUACUGGGGCUUCAGGGGGCAGCCCAUGAGUAGGCAGAGGCAGCAGGUCCAAAACUCCCUUGCCUAUGAAGAGUGGCUUUUACACUGCAAUCUGCCCCAGGGAGCGGAGGCUAGAUGGUGACUGGCAGUAGCCCGUGACUGAGUCAAGGUGGGGACAGAGGGUUGAGGAUUCCUCUGGGUGGGGAGACCCUGAGACUGGGGGGGUACUGCCAGGGGGAGCACCCCAGCCUGAAAGGGACACUGCAGUCCAGGAGGGACUUGGGCCUAACAUGACACUGGCCUGCAGAGGACGCUCCGGAAGCUGGAAGAGCUAAUUCCCUGGAUGACCAGCAGGAGGCACCGCAGGGGCAGUGAAUUGUCUAGUUGCCGAGCCAGGAUGCAACCCACCUGUGUAGCAAGGAACUGGACUGAUACCAGUAACAACUCAUUUCACACAAGCCACUCAUCAGCCAUCACACAGCGAGAGCAGCAUGAUGUUCUGUCCUGAGGAUUUCUUUCAUCUUGCCUCCAACAGAUCAGCAGAAUCACAUGCCUUUCCUUUCAACUGAGAUAAAUACCUUGCCCUGAUUAGCAGCCAGCUGAGCCUCCUCAGCAUGGAAGAAUCUCAUAUGAAAUUGCUUAACUCCCCUCCCUCCCAUUUUACUCCCUCAUUGCUUAACAACAUCAUCAAGGCUGUACAUUGUCCUCCCGCGCGUAUGUACGACAAC